rnacentral:rRNA from 1 species
CAGCCGCCGCGGUAAUACCGGCGGCCCGAGUGGCGGCCACUAUUAUUGGGCUUAAAGCGUCCGUAGCCGGGUUGGUUAGUCUCCCGGGAAAUCUGGCCGCUUAACGGUCAGAAUUCCGGGAGAUACUGCCAGCCUAGGGACCGGGAGAGGCCGAGGGUAUUCCCGGAGUAGGGGUGAAAUCCUAUAAUCCCGGGAGGACCACCUGUGGCGAAGGCGCUCGGCUGGAACGGGUCCGACGGUGAGGGACGAAGGCCAGGGGAGCAAACCGGAUUAGAUACCCGGGUAGUCCUGGCUGUAAACGAUGCGGACUUUGUGUCGGACAAGCUAUGAGCUUGUCCGGUGCCGGAGGGAAACCGUUAAGACCGCCGCCUGGGGAGUACGGCCGCAAGGCUGAAACUUAAAGGAAUUGGCGGG